AUUGAACGCUGGCGGCAGGCUUAACACAUGCAAGUCGAGCGGGGAAGGGUAGCUUGCUACCUGACCUAGCGGCGGACGGGUGAGUAAUGCUUAGGAAUCUGCCUAUUAGUGGGGGACAACAUUCCGAAAGGAAUGCUAAUACCGCAUACGCCCUACGGGGGAAAGCAGGGGAUCUUCGGACCUUGCGCUAAUAGAUGAGCCUAAGUCAGAUUAGCUAGUUGGUGGGGUAAAGGCCUACCAAGGCGACGAUCUGUAGCGGGUCUGAGAGGAUGAUCCGCCACACUGGGACUGAGACACGGCCCAGACUCCUACGGGAGGCAGCAGUGGGGAAUAUUGGGCAAUGGGCGCAAGCCUGAUCCAGCCAUGCCGCGUGUGUGAAGAAGGCCUUUUGGUUGCAAAGCACUUUAAGCGAGGAGGAGGCUACUUGGAUUAAUACUCUAGGAUAGUGGACGUUACUCGCAGAAUAAGCACCGGCUAACUCUGUGCCAGCAGCCGCGGUAAUACAGAGGGUGCGAGCGUUAAUCGGAUUUACUGGGCGUAAAGCGUGCGUAGGCGGCUUUUUAAGUCGGAUGUGAAAUUCCUGAGCUUAACUUAGGAAUUGCAUUCGAUACUGGGAAGCUAGAGUAUGGGAGAGGAUGGUAGAAUUCCAGGUGUAGCGGUGAAAUGCGUAGAGAUCUGGAGGAAUACCGAUGGCGAAGGCAGCCAUCUGGCCUAAUACUGACGCUGAGGUACGAAAAGCAUGGGGAGCAAACAGG
rnacentral:rRNA from 1 species